rnacentral:lncRNA from 11 species
GAAGAAAGGAUUAUCCACGAUGGGAAAAUGCCUCUGUGAGGGGCAUGAAACUAAAGAAGGUGAUGAUAGACUCAAGGCAGCUAACAGCAAACAUGACACAGCACAAACCUCUUCUGAAACCCUGCCAUAGAACUGCACUGGAGGACCGAGGGAUUUCUCAAGAGAACAUUCAAAAUCAAAUCUGUGACUAAUAAAAUCCACAAAUAUCAAACUCGCAAAUGUGGAGGGUGUUGGGAAAUCAUCCUGGACUACUCAAGUCUAAACGUAGUUAGAUAGAUGAUAGAGUUAGAUUGAGGGAAUCCUUUCCCUGUUUCCAAAGCAUGCCUAGACAGGCUUUACUGUGUUUCACUCUACCCUGUUUACGUCACAUCCCUUACUUUGAAGUUAGUAGAAAUGUGACUCUCCAGGGACACUAACUUCCCAUUGGUCAGAAUGUCUUUUAUGGCCCCAAUAAACUGGACCAUGAGGUUGGAACCAUUUUGGUUCUCUCGUCUCCCUUUGUUCUUCAAGCUAACAACACAUCCUGCCAUCUCUCCUGGCAAGAUGUAACUAUUUGGAUGUUUGUUAUUUUUCCUUAGAAACCAGUCUAGAGUAGACUAGACAGCUCCCAAGCCUUUCUAUCUACAAUGGAGUUCUUUUUACCU